UCCCCGGUGGUCCAGUGGUUAGGGCUCAGCGCUUUCACUGCCAAGGCCCAGGUUCGAUCCCUGGUCGGGGAA